UUCCGGUUGAUCCUGCCGGACCUUACUGCUAUCGGGAUGAGACUAAGCCAUGCAUGUCGAGCGCUCUUCAGCUAUGUAGAGAGCGCGGCGAACGGCUCAAUAACACGUAGUUAACCUACCCUCGGGAUGGGAAUAACCCCGGGAAACUGGGAUUAAUGCCCACUAGAUGAUUAUACCUGGAAUGGCUUAUCGUCGAAAGAGUCUGGAAACAUGCUUCCAGCGUCGCCCGAGGAUGGGACCGCGUCCGAUCAGGUAGUUGGUGGGGUAAUGGCCUACCAAGCCUAUAACCGGUACGGGCCCUGAGAGGGGGAGCCCGGAGAUGGAAACUGAGAAAAGGUUCCAGGCCCUACGGGGUGCAGCAGGCGCGAAACCUCCACAAUGCGCGAAAGCGUGAUGGGGUUAUCCCGAGUGCCGUCCGAUGAGGAUGGCUUUUUAUCGAUGUAAGGAUUCGAUAGAAUAAAGGGGGGGCAAGACUGGUGUCAGCCGCCGCGGUAAUACCAGCCCCCUGAGUGGUAAGGACGAUUAUUUGGCCUAAAGCGUUCGUAGCCGGCUUAUCAAGUCUUUUGUUAAAUCCAACGAUUCAAUCGUUGGGCCGCAAAAGAUACUGUUAUGCUAGAGGACGGGAGAGGUCGACGGUAGUCCAGGGGUAGGGGUGAAAUCCUAUAAUCCUUGGAGGACCACCAGUGGCGAAGGCGGUCGACUAGAACGUGCCUGACGGUGAGGGACGAAAGCUGGGGGAGCGAACCGGAUUAGAUACCCGGGUAGUCCCAGCUGUAAACGAUGCGGGCUAAGUGUUGGGGCAGCCACAAGCUGCUCCAGUGCCGCAGAGAUUUUGUAAGCCCGCCGCCUGGGAAUACGGCGCAAGGCUGAACUUAAGGAUUGGCGUGGAACACACAAGGGAUGAAGGCUGCGGUUUAAUUGGAGUCAAGCGGA
rnacentral:rRNA from 1 species